rnacentral:rRNA from 1 species
UAGGGGGCAAGCGUUAUCCGGAUUCACUGGGUGUAAAGGGAGCGUAGACGGCCGCGCAAGUCUGGAGUGAAAGCCCGGGGCCCAACCCCGGGACUGCUCUGGAAACUGCGUGGCUCGAGUGCGGGAGGGGCAGGCGGAAUUCCUGGUGUAGCGGUGAAAUGCGUAGAUAUCAGGAGGAACACCGGCGGCGAAGGCGGCCUGCUGGACCGCGACUGACGUUGAGGCUCGAGAGCGUGGGGAGCAAA